UACGGAGGGUGCAAGCGUUAUCCGGAUUCACUGGGUUUAAAGGGUGCGUAGGUGGUCUGUUAAGUCAGCGGUGAAAGCCUGGAGCUCAACUCCAGAAUUGCCAUUGAUACUGACGGACUUGAAUCAAGUUGAGGUGGAUGGAAUAUUACAUGUAGCGGUGAAAUGCUUAGAUAUGUAAUAGAACACCGAUUGCGAAGGCAGUUCACUAAGCUUGCAUUGACACUGAGGCACGAAAAGCGUGGGGAUCAAACAGG
rnacentral:rRNA from 1 species